rnacentral:rRNA from 1 species
ACUAAAUAGAUACCCGGGUAGUCCUGGCCCUAAACGAUGUCUACUAGGUCGGAGUCACUCUGACGUGUUUCUGGCCGUAAAUGAAAAAACUUUAAAGUAGACCGCCUGGGGAGUACGGUCGCAAGGCUAAAACUCAAAGGAAUUGACGGGGGCUCACACAAGCGGUGGAGCAUGUUGCUUAAUUCGAUGCAACGCGCAGAACCUUAUCCUGGGCUUGACAUGUACGAGCCUCUACCUGGAAACAGGAUAGAGUUUCCCUUCGGGGUGUAAGCGUACACAGGUGCUGCAUGGCUGUCGUCAGCUCGUGUCGUGAGAUGUCGGGUUAAGUCCCAUAACGAGCGAAACCCUUGUCGCUAGUUGCCAGCGGGUAAUGCCGGGGACUCUAGCGAGACUGCCGGUGUCAAACCGGAGGAAGGCGGGGAUGACGUCAAGUCCUCAUGGCCUUUAUGCCCAGGGCUGCAAACGUGCUACAAUGGCAGAUACAAACCGAAGCAAGACUGCAAAGUCAAGC